rnacentral:rRNA from 1 species
AUUGAACGCUGGCGGCAGGCCUAACACAUGCAAGUCGAACGAGUAGCGGACGGGCGAGUAAUGUAGGGGAAACUGCCUGAUGGAGGGGGAUAACUACUGGAAACGGUAGAUAAUACCGCAUACCAUCGGAUGUGCCCAGUUGGGAUUAGCUAGUGGGUGGGGUAAAGGCUGACCUAGGCGAAGAUCCCUAGCUGGUCUGAGGGGAUGACCAGCCACACGGGAACUGGGACCCGGUCCAGACCCCUAGGGGAGCCAGCAGUGGGGAAUCUUGGCCAAUGGGCGCAAGCCUGAUGCAGCCAUGCCGCGUGUUGGAGGAAGGCCUUCGGUUUGUAAAGUACUUUCAGCGGGGAGGCGUUACCCGCAGAGGAAGCCCCGGCUAACUACGUGCCAGCAGCCGCGGUAAUAC